GUGGCUAACUUUAAAAGCACAUUUAGGAACCAUAAAGGAGGUAACAUUUAUAUUAUAAUAUGAUGUCUCACAGACUGAGAUGGCCUGAAAACUGUCUUUUUUUUUUUUUUUGAAACGGAGUCUCACUCUGUUGCCCAGGCUGUACAAGAGCUGGGAUUUCAAUCCAGGUUAGUCUGGCUAUAAUUCCAAAAAUCAUUCUAUUGCUUCAUAUUUAUACUAAGU